rnacentral:rRNA from 1 species
AACGAACGCUGGCGGCAUGCCUAACACAUGCAAGUCGAACGAGACCUUCGGGUCUAGUGGCGCACGGGUGCGUAACGCGUGGGAACCUGCCCUUAGGUUUGGAAUAACUCCCCGAAAGGGGUGCUAAUACCGGAUAAUGUCUUCGGACCAAAGAUUUAUCGCCUUUGGAUGGGCCCGCGUUGGAUUAGCUAGUUGGUAGGGUAAAAGCCUACCAAGGCGACGAUCCAUAGCUGGUCUGAGAGGAUGAUCAGCCACACUGGGACUGAGACACGGCCCAGACUCCUACGGGAGGCAGCAGUGGGGAAUAUUGGACAAUGGGCGAAAGCCUGAUCCAGCAAUGCCGCGUGAGUGAUGAAGGCCUUAGGGUUGUAAAGCUCUUUUACCCGGGAUGAUAAUGACGGUACCGGGAGAAUAAGCUCCGGCUAACUCCGUG